rnacentral:tRNA from 1 species
AGUCCCGUAGUGUAGAGGUCCAUCAUACCGGGUUUUGGACCCGGUGACGGAGGUUCGAACCCUCCCGGGACUACCA